AAUAACAUUUUGGGUAGGGGCUUGGGAACAGUUCCCGUUUCCAGGUUUUCCCGACCUUCAUCUGCCGGUCAUUCCCACCUCUACACAAACCAGCGCAUAGACAUAUCAUCCACCAAAUUAUACCACCAGCAACCAGCCAACCACCACCCAGCCCCAAAUCCAGUUCCGGCGACAUCCACAUCCAGUUACUACCAUCGCUCACCACCGCUCUGCUCCGAAUCAACGUCACCUGCUAGCAUCGAUCAACACCGCUCUACCCCAAAUCGAAAGGUCGGCGCUUUAUCUACUCCGUCAACCGACAACUUUCGUCGGACGAUUAGGGCUCCAACAGGUGAACAGUAAAAAGGAUGCAAACAGUAAACCAUCACUUCACUGAGCUCUCUCACAGCCGUAAAAGAGAACAUGUGCAAAGAGAACAACCUUUUAUCUGCAGGUCUAAACCGUCCAACCCCCAAUGGGUAAGUCUCCCACUGCAAGCAUGGUUCACUGGUCCAAGGUUUCUUCUUUGGGCGAUGACUUCCUCUAUAAAUGACACUUCAUUUAGUGCAUUUUGGACAUUCCGAUCAGCUCUGAUUCUCUUAGAAUCCCUGAUCUUCCUUCUUGAGUAAUUGUUCCACUCAAGUCUCUCUUUUCCACAUUCAACACAACAAACAUUUCUUUUUUGUAAAAGUCUAAAGGGCUGUUUGGCAACUUCUGAAUUAUUUAGUGUUAAACCAGUAAGAGAUCUGAACCAUUAAAAGCCAAUAUAAUGCUUAACCGUUAAGUGGCAAUUGUCUGACCAAUUCAGAUAAGAGGUCUUAACCAUUCAUACUCAGUAUAAUGCUUAACCAUUUAGAGGCAAAGGUGAGUGAGUUAUUUGUAAAUAUAGAAGUUUGGGAGAGUAACGUUAGCCAUUCAAAAAAAAAUUAUAAGAUCCCUAGGUGACUUGUCGACUUCAACUCACCAUUUUGCAAAUAUAUGUGUGUAAAUGUAAAGAUGGUGGUUGUUAACAAAAGUAACGGAUAAGAGUACCAAAAGGUGUUUUUAUUGAAAUAACAAACAUAAUAGUAGUAUUUCA